AUGGGCGCAGUUUGUGAAAUACUAGCAAAAUCCGAAGAUCUGGAGAUCCAACAGGCAAUAUUCGAAUGCCUUGCUAAAAUUGCAUCCACAUAUUAUAUGCUGUUACAACCUUAUUUGAGAACCAUACUUAGUCUGACAGAAUCAAUUGCACCCCAAUGUAUGGUGUUCUGGUGCACUGUUUGUAAGGAAGUGAUUAAACUCCGAGAAGAACAACACAUUGGCGCUGUCGAUGCUAACUCUAAAUAUUGUUGCUUUAUUUAUGAGGCCCUCGAGUUACAUGUUCCAGUGCUGCUAAAGCAUCUGUUCAAGCGAGAGAAAGAUCAGGAAGGACUAGUUCGAAUGCUGCUACAACAUCUGUUCAAUCAAGAGGAAGAUCAAGACGGACUAGUUCCAAUGCCACUAGAGCAUCUGCUCAUGCAAGAGGAAGAUCAAGGAGAUGAUGUCAUGCAAGAGGAAGAUCAAGGAGAUGAUGUCAUGCAAGAGGAAGAUCAAGAAGGAGAUGAUUGUCUUCUGAACAUUGACAUCGACUGUGUGACUCUUCUAGGCCUCAUUGCUAGAACUAUCAGGGAUGCAAUUGUCCCCCUUGUGAUGCAAUGUAUUGAGGGUAACAUUAAAGAGCCAGAUUGGCAUAGUCGCAUGGCCGCUGUUUCUGCAAUUGGUUUUAUCCUUGAAGGCCCUUCUGUUAAGGGACUCGCUCCACUGCUUGAUUUGUUGCUCGACAAGAUGGAAGAUCCAAACAGCAAGGUAAAAGGAACCACUGCAUGGAUUCUUGGCCGGAUGUUUAAGCUUCUGCAUUUUCCGGCAAGUGCAAAUGGAAUUAUAACGAAAGCAAACCUUCCUCGCAUCAUGGAUGUGUUGGUACACUGUAGUAAAGAUAUUCCAAUUGUGUCCGAAAAAGUAUGCGGAGCUAUAUAUUUUCUUGCCCGAGGUUACGAAGAUGCAGAGUCAAUGCCAUCUGAGCUUUCAUUGUCUCUUGAUCGUGUUAUUGAUGCUCUCCUUUCUGCUUCACAACCUUCUGAUGAGACCCCUUUCAGGCUUGGAGCGUCUGCCUAUGAAGCAUUGUGUGCAGUUGUGAGAGUCAGCAAUUUAGAACAACCUGUUGUUUGGAGCGCUAUAGGAGAUUUAAUGCAUCGUAUCAUGAAAAGAUUGGAUAUGACGCUUGAUCGCCAAGCACUUACUUUGGGUCAUAAGUUGAAGAAAAACAAUCUUCAGAUUGUGCUGUGUGGUGUACUGCAGGUCAUCGUCCAGAAACUGGCCAAUUCAGCUACAGUGAAGAUAGUUACGAACGCUGCUCAUCAUUUGUUGUUUUCUUUUUGCCGUGUCUUGGUUUGUGACAGUUCUACCGCACAGAGUGAAGCAAUGUCUUGGUUUGCCAUUGCUGCUCUUGCUAAUGCCACCGGUCCAGGGUUUGGGAAACAUAUGCCUAUACUCAUGCAGGUACUUGAUGCUCACCCACUCUCCCCCAUCUCUGUAGGAGUGAUCGGCGAUAUCUGCCUUGCCUUGGAAGGUAAAAUAUUGCCACACUGUGAUAAAAUUAUGCAAGUUCUGUACAAAGGUCUUUCUAAGUCGACUCUCAGAGCUCCAAUUUUCUCAUGCUUUGGAGACAUUGCUCUUGCUAUUAGCAAUGAUUUUGAGAAGUACCUGCAGUAUGUUCUGGAAAAGCUUCAAGAAGCUGCUAACUCACAGGACUGGGCUGAUGUUCAAGAAGAGGACAAGACUGAAUAUGUGAACCAGCUUAGACAGGGAAUAUAUAAGGCAUACUCUGGCAUACUACGGGGUAUAAAGGACCCAAGAAUUGGGUUUAAGGUAGCAACCCAUCUAUUUAAAUUCAUGGAAGCUGUCUGGGUAGACCGGAGCAGGGAUAAAAGUGUGAUGCAUGCUGCUGUUGCUGUUUUGACCGAUUUUGAUUUGACAAUUGGGUCAUGGACAGAAGAAAUGACUAAGGAAUUGCAUAACUAA
rnacentral:rRNA from 1 species